rnacentral:rRNA from 1 species
ACGAACGCUGGCGGCGUGCUUAGCACAUGCAAGUCGAACGGAAAGGCCCUGCUUUUGUGGGGUGCUCGAGUGGCGAACGGGUGAGUAACACGUGAGUAACCUGCCCUUGACUUUGGGAUAACUUCAGGAAACUGGGGCUAAUACCGGAUAGGAGCUCCUGCUGCAUGGUGGGGGUUGGAAAGUUUCGGCGGUCGGGGAUGGACUCGCGGCUUAUCAGCUUGUUGGUGGGGUAGUGGCUUACCAAGGCUUUGACGGGUAGCCGGCCUGAGAGGGUGACCGGCCACAUUGGGACUGAGAUACGGCCCAGACUCCUACGGGAGGCAGCAGUGGGGAAUACUGCACAAUGGGCGGAAGCCUGAUGCAGCAACGCCGCGUGCGGGAUGACGGCCUUCGGGUUGUAAACCGCUUUCGCCUGUGACGAAGCGUGAGUGACGGUAAUGGGUAAAGAAGCACCGGCUAACUACGUG